AUAUUAUUAAGUGGAGGAAAAGAAACCAAAAGGGAUUCCCCCWGUAGCGGCGAGCGAAAAGGGACCAGCCCAAAGCCGAAUCCCGCGUCCCCUGGGCGUCGGGAAAUGUGGCGUAUGGGAGGCGGAUUUUUCCGCGCGUCGAGGGCGGCCCAAGUCCCCAUGAACGGGGCUACGACCGGAGCGGGUGUGAGUCCCGUACGGUCGCCUUCUUCGCGUUGAGCUUCCGCUCUCCCGGGAGUCGGGUUGCUUGAAAGUGCAGCCCAAAGUGGGUGGUAUGCUCCACCUAAGGCUAAAUAUCCCSGAGAGACCGAUAGCAAAAAAGUACCGUGAGGGAAAGUUGAAAAGAACUUUGAAGAGAGAGUUCAAUAGUACGUGAAACCGCUUAGAGGUAAACGGGUGGGCCCUCGAAGUCUGAGGGCGGAUCGGUUCAGUUUGGGCUCUUCGGGGUCCCUCGGUGCGGCGCAGGCGAACGAGCCGCCCAGCCGCCCGGGGGUCUUUUUCCCCGUGGGCCCUUGCGCACUUCUGUUCCGCCGGUAAGAGGCCGCGACUGGUCGGUCGAGGGUCGGAAGGACGGCCGGUGGGGAAAGGUGGCCUGCCGCGUCUAGGCGCGGCGGGUGUUACAGCCCCGCCCGGCAGGUAUAGCCGAUCUUCGCAGCCGACUCAGGACGAGAGAGAUCCUCGCACGGCGCUCCCUCCGAACGGAGCGUCCCCCGGCCGGUCCGAAUUCCGACCUGGCGGUCUCACCCUCCGGGUGGGCCGCUUAAGGGAGGAGUCGGGAAGGUCGACGGGGCGCCGCGGGAAAGCCAGARGUCUGCGGUCAGUAGAUCGGGUCCCACCCGACCCGUCUUG
rnacentral:rRNA from 1 species